CUGGUAAACUAAAAGAUAAGUUUCCUUGCUGCUGGUGUUAUGUGACCCAUUUGGAUGUGAAACAAAUCAUUUCCCAUUCCUGUCUAUGUGAAAGAUGCCAACCAGAGUUUCAACCCCUGGCCUGCUGGGUUAUAAGGAUGUUCUGAGUUCUCGCAAUCAAACUUGGAGAACCAGGGUACAGCCCGAUUUGCCGGAGGGUGAGAGGAUUCACCAGAGACAGAGCGAGGAACAGAAUAGGCAGACUGACGAAACACACUGCUGAGGGGAGGAGCAGGCGAGACUGGAGAGGUCUGCUGCACCAUGAAAGAAUCCCAAAGACAUCUCUGAAGCUAAUGUUGUGGAGUGUUUUGCCUGAUUUUUCAUCAAUGUAUUUUAUAGUUCUGGGUCUUAUUUCCAUGUAUAUAAUCCAUUUUUGAGUAUUUUUUUCUGUAAGGUGUGAGGGAUAAUGAUCUAAUUUUGUUUUUUUGUAUGUAAAUGUCCAGUUUGCCCAUACCAUUUUUAAAGAGACACUCCUUCCUCCAGUGUAUUUUCUUGACUGAUUUGCUGUAGAUUGUCUAUAGACAAUCUAUUUUAUUUUAUUUCUGGACUCUUCUAUUCCACUG